rnacentral:rRNA from 1 species
UACGUAGGUGGCAAGCGUUGUCCGGAUUUACUGGGCGUAAAGAGCGCGCAGGCGGUCGUUCAAGUCGCGUGUGAAAGCCCCCGGCUCAACUGGGGAGGGUCACGCGAUACUGAUCGACUGGAAGGCAGGAGAGGGUAGUGGAAUUCCCGGUGUAGUGGUGAAAUGCGUAGAUAUCAGGAGGAACACCGGUGGCGAAGGCGGGUCUCUGGGCCGAUACUGACGCUGAGGAGCGAAAGCGUGGGGAGCGAACAGG